AGCGAACGCUGGCGGCAGGCUUAACACAUGCAAGUCGAGCGGGCGUAGCAAUACGUCAGCGGCAGACGGGUGAGUAACGCGUGGGAACGUACCUUUUGGUUCGGAACAACACAGGGAAACUUGUGCUAAUACCGGAUAAGCCCUUACGGGGAAAGAUUUAUCGCCGAAAGAUCGGCCCGCGUCUGAUUAGCUAGUUGGUGAGGUAACGGCUCACCAAGGCGACGAUCAGUAGCUGGUCUGAGAGGAUGAUCAGCCACAUUGGGACUGAGACACGGCCCAAACUCCUACGGGAGGCAGCAGUGGGGAAUAUUGGACAAUGGGCGCAAGCCUGAUCCAGCCAUGCCGCGUGAGUGAUGAAGGCCCUAGGGUUGUAAAGCUCUUUUGUGCGGGAAGAUAAUUACGGU
rnacentral:rRNA from 1 species